UACGUAGGGUGCAAGCGUUAAUCGGAAUUACUGGGCGUAAAGCGUGCGCAGGCGGUUGUGCAAGACAGAUGUGAAAUCCCCGGGCUCAACCUGGGAACUGCAUUUGUGACUGCACGGCUGGAGUGCGGCAGAGGGGGAUGGAAUUCCGCGUGUAGCAGUGAAAUGCGUAGAUAUGUGGAGGAAUACCGAUGGCGAAGGCAGCCUCCUGGGCCAACACUGACGCUCAUGCACGAAAGCGUGGGGAGCAAACAGG
rnacentral:rRNA from 1 species